rnacentral:misc_RNA from 1 species
AACGCACGAGACCUGCGGACCUGCGGAAGGAUCAUUACCUUAUACACGGCCGCAAGGCCCACUGGAAGCGCGGCCCCUCGGGGACGUGCCGACGGUAGACCCUUUGUGAAAACCCCCUGUUGCUUCGGCAGCGCCUCCCCGCACCGGCGGUGGAGGGUCAGCCUGCCGGCGGCACCCUUUAAAACCCUUGUCGCAAAGCAGUACCCUGUCUGAGCGCGUAGUCGAAUGACUUUAAAACUU